AUUGAACGCUGGCGGCAGGCCUAACACAUGCAAGUCGAACGGUAACAGGAAACAGCUUGCUGUUUCGCUGACGAGUGGCGGACGGGUGAGUAAUGUCUGGGAAACUGCCUGAUGGAGGGGGAUAACUACUGGAAACGGUAGCUAAUACCGCAUAACGUCGCAAGACCAAAGAGGGGGACCCUCGGGCCUCUUGCCAUCGGAUGUGCCCAGAUGGGAUUAGCUUGUUGGUGGGGUAACGGCUCACCAAGGCGACGAUCCCUAGCUGGUCUGAGAGGAUGACCAGCCACACUGGAACUGAGACACGGUCCAGACUCCUACGGGAGGCAGCAGUGGAGAAUAUUGCACAAUGGGCGCAAGCCUGAUGCAGCCAUGCCGCGUGUAUGAAGAAGGCCUUCGGGUUGUAAAGUACUUUCAGCGGGGAGGAAGGGAGUAAAGUUAAUACCUUUGCUCAUUGACGUCACCCGCAGAAGAAGCACCGGCUAACUCCGUG
rnacentral:rRNA from 1 species